rnacentral:rRNA from 1 species
AGAGUUUGAUCAUGGCUCAGGAUGAACGCUAGCGGGAGGCUUAACACAUGCAAGUCGAGGGGCAUCACGAGGUAGCAAUACCUUGGUGGCGACCGGCGCACGGGUGAGUAACACGUAUGCAACCUUCCCUGUACAGGGGGAUAACCCGGAGAAAUUCGGACUAAUACCCCAUGAUGAUAUUAAUGGGCAUCCAAUAAUAUUUAAAGCUCCGGCGGUACGGGAUGGGCAUGCGCGACAUUAGCUAGUUGGUAGGGUAACGGCCUACCAAGGCCACGAUGUUUAGGGGACCUGAGAGGGUUGUCCCCCACACUGGUACUGAGACACGGACCAGACUCCUACGGGAGGCAGCAGUGAGGAAUAUUGGUCAAUGGGCGCAAGCCUGAACCAGCCAUCCCGCGUGAAGGAAGAAUGCGCUACGCGUUGUAAACUUCUUUUCCAGGGGGAGAAUUUUCCUGUCGAGACAGGGAUUGACGGUACCCUGGGAAUAAGCAUCGGCUAACUCCGUGCCAGCAGCCACGGUAAUACGGAGGAUGCGAGCGUUAUCCGGAUUUAUUGGGUUUAAAGGGUGCGUAGGCGGAUUGAUAAGUCAGUGGUGAAAUUCUGCAGCUUAACUGUAGACUUGCCGUUGAUACUGUUAGUCUUGAGUGUGGUCAAGGCAGGCGGAAUGUGUAAUGUAGCGGUGAAAUGCUUAGAUAUUACACAGAACACCGAUUGCGAAGGCAGCUUGCUGGGUCAUUACUGACGCUGAUGCACGAAAGCGUGGGGAUCAAACAGGAUUAGAUACCCUGGUAGUCCACGCCGUAAACUAUGAUCACUCGCUGUUGGCGAUACACGGUCAGCGGCUAAGCAAAAGCAUUAAGUGAUCCACCUGGGGAGUACGGCCGCAAGGCUGAAACUCAAUGAAUCAC